UGGGGAAUAUUGGACAAUGGGCGAAAGCCUGAUCCAGCCAUGCCGCGUGUGUGAAGAAGGUCUUCGGAUUGUAAAGCACUUUAAGUUGGGAGGAAGGGCUGCAAGUUAAUACCUUGUAGUUUUGACGUUACCAACAGAAUAAGCACCGGCUAACUUCGUGCCAGCAGCCGCGGUAAUACGAAGGGUGCAAGCGUUAAUCGGAAUUACUGGGCGUAAAGCGCGCGUAGGUGGUUUGGUAAGAUGGAUGUGAAAUCCCCGGGCUCAACCUGGGAACUGCAUCGAUAACUGCCUGACUAGAGUACGGUAGAGGGUGGUGGAAUUUCCUGUGGAGCGGUGAAAUGCGUAGAUAUAGGAAGGAACGCCAGUGGCGAAGGCGACCACCUGGACUGAUACUGACACUGAGGUGCGAAAGCGUGGGGAGCAAACA
rnacentral:rRNA from 1 species